AGUGAACGCUGGCGGUAGGCCUAACACAUGCAAGUCGAACGGCAGCACAGUAAGAGCUUGCUCUUACGGGUGGCGAGUGGCGGACGGGUGAGGAAUACAUCGGAAUCUACUUUUUCGUGGGGGAUAACGUAGGUAAACUUACGCUAAUACCGCAUACGCCCUACGGGUGAAAGCAUGGGAUCUUCGGACCUUGCGCGAUUGAAUGAGCCGAUGUCGGAUUAGCUAGUUGGCGGGGUAAAGGCCCACCAAGGCGACGAUCCGUAGCUGGUCUGAGAGGAUGAUAAGCGACACUGGAACUGAGACACGGUCCAGACUCCUACGGGAGGCAGCAGUGGGGAAUAUUGGACAAUGGGCGCAAGCAUGAUCCAGCCAUACCGAGUGGGUGAAGAAGGCCUUCGGGUUGUAAAGCCCUUUUGUUGGGAAAGAAAAGCAGCAGGUUAAUACCCCGCUGUUCUGACGGUACCCAAAGAAUAAGCACCGGCUAACUUCGUG
rnacentral:rRNA from 1 species